AAAGCGCGCGUAGGUGGUUUGUUAAGUUGGAUGUGAAAGCCCCGGGCUCAACCUGGGAACUGCAUCCAAAACUGGCAAGCUAGAGUAUGGUAGAGGGUGGUGGAAUUUCCUGUGUAGCGGUGAAAUGCGUAGAUAUAGGAAGGAACACCAGUGGCGAAGGCGACCACCUGGACUGAUACUGACACUGAGGUGCGAAAGCGUGGGGAGCAAACAGGAUUAGAUACCCCGGU
rnacentral:rRNA from 1 species